rnacentral:lncRNA from 1 species
CCGACGGCGUCCCCGCGGGCACGAGCGCCUACGCCGUGCGCCCCCCGGGGCCGUGCGCGCCGCCGGGGCUGGAGGAGGCUCUGAGCGCGCUGGGGCUGGAGGGAGAACGCGAGUACGCCGGGGACAUCUUCGCCGAGGUCAUGGUGUGCCGCGCGCUGCCCAGGAGGGCCCUGCCGAGCACCGUGACCGCGGAGAUGCGCGCGCUCGUGGUGGACUGGCUGGUCCAGGUGCACGUACGUACCUGGGGAAGGGGCAGGGCCGGGCCCGCGGCACAGCUUAGGGCCCUGCUGCUCACCCGCGCCCCUUCCCAGGAGUACCUGGGCCUGGCAGGGGACACGCUCUACCUGGCCGUGCACCUGCUCGAUUCCUACCUGCGCGCGGGCCGAGUGCGCCUACACCGCCUGCAGCUGCUGGGCGUGGCCUGCCUCUUCGUGGCGUGCAAGAUGGAAGAGUGCGUGCUUCCCGAGCCCGCCUCCCUCUGCCUCCUGGGCGCCGGCUCCUUCUCGCGGGCGGAGCUUCUGCGCGCCGAGCGCCGCAUCCUGAGCCGCCUGGAUUUCCGGCUGCACCACCCGGGCCCGCUGCUGUGCCUCGGGCUGCUGUCCGCGCUGGCCCGGAGCGGCCCCCAGGUGCGCGGGGCGGGGCCCGGGGAGGGGGCGGGGCCUGCGCGGGCUGGGGGCGGGGCCUGACGUUCGUCCAGCUGCCCGGGCAGGUGACGCUCCUUGCCACCUACUUCCUGGAGCUGUCCCUGCUGGAGGCCGAGGCCGCGGGCUGGGAGCCCGCUCGGCGCGCAGCUGCGGCGCUGAGCCUGGCGCACCGCGUGCUGGACGGGGCGGGCUCCGGGCCCGAGCCGGCGCUUUACAGGUACGGCCGUGGCCGAGGGGCUCUGGGGCUCCAGCGACCUAUCUUCCUGGACGCUGUCUUGACCGUCUCAGAGAAUGAGAGACAAUUAUGGGGGAGGAGGGUGCACCUCGACUUGGCUUUUCUGGGUGUGAGAGAAGGAUGUGUCUGUCUGGUCUGGAGGUGUCUGAGCAUGGGGUGUUUGUCUGGAUUUGGGGACCCUUCACCUUGCCCCAGGGUGGGAGAGAGGAGAUCCCCGGGCCCGGAAGAUGCUCUGCGUUGCGGGGUUGAGAAGGAGAGGUCUGUCGGCCUCGAGUCGCCCAGCUCCCCUUGUGGCCGCGAACGGGGCUCCUUUUCGCUGCUCGAGCCUCUUCCCCGUACCCAUGGCACCGGGUGGCAGGGUGAAUGUCUUUUCUCCCAUCCCGUGUCCACGGGGCGGAGCUGGAUGUCACCUCGUCCCCAGCCCCACUCCUUCCCUCCCCGCGGGUCCUGGCUCUCCCCAAGCCGCGCCCUGCGGGGAGAAUCGGGGGUCGUCCCCUCCUCCGCGCCCCCCGGUCGCUCUCUAGAUGAUGGGCCUCGUGUCCGAUCUCGAGAGAGCCCCCGAGCGGUCCUCGGGGACCCAAGUCAACGCGUCUUCUCAGCCUCCGAGGACAGGUCGUGUCCACCGCUGCCCCUGCCUCAGUUUCCCCGUCUCCCCGCCGCAGCCCCGCGGAGCUGGGCCCGCUCGAGCCGUGCAUGGCCCGCGCCGCGCUCCGGGGUCCCGCGCCC